rnacentral:rRNA from 1 species
CCUACGGGGGGCUGCAGUGAGGAAUAUUGGUCAAUGGGCGUAAGCCUGAACCAGCCAAGUCGCGUGAGGGAUGAAGGUUCUAUGGAUCGUAAACCUCUUUUAUAAGGGAAUAAAGUGCGGGACGUGUCCCGUUUUGUAUGUACCUUAUGAAUAAGGAGCGGCUAACUCCGUGCCAGCAGCCGCGCUAAAACGGAGGAUCCGAGCGUUAUCCGGAUUUAUUGGGUUUAAAGGUUGAGUAGGCGGCCUUUGACGUUAGCGGUGAAAGUCUUUGGCUCAACCAGAGAAUUGCCGUUGAAACUGGUAGGCUUGAGUAUGUUUGAGGCAGGCGGAAUGCGUGGUGUAGCGGUGAAAUGCUUAGAUAUCACGCAGAACCCCGAUUGCGAAGGCAGCCUGCCAAGCCAUGACUGACGCUGAUGCACGAAAGCGUGGGGAUCAAACAGGAUUAGAUACCCCUGUAGUC